rnacentral:rRNA from 1 species
GUGCCAGCAGCCGCGGUAAUACGUAGGUGGCAAGCGUUAUCCGGAAUUAUUGGGCGCAAAGCGCGCGUAGGCGGUUUUUUAAGUCUGAUGUGAAAGCCCACGGCUCAACUGUGGAGGGUCAUUGGAGACUGGAAAACUUGAGUGCAGAAGAGGAAAGUGGAAUUCCAUGUGUAGCGGUGAAAUGCGCAGAGAUAUGGAGGAACACCAGUGGCGAAGGCGACUUCCUGGUCUGUAACUGACGCUGAUGUGCGAAAGCGUGGGGAUCAAAC